rnacentral:lncRNA from 1 species
CCACCGCCACCACGGGACUGAGCUUCGUUAACAGUGAUGUUACGGCCGUCAAGGUUUUGGCCGUUCAUCCCUUCGAUGGCGUCUUUCAUGGACUGCUCCGAGGCGAAGGUCACAAAUCCAAAACCCCUGGAUCUUCCAGUCUCACGAUCGUUGAUAAUCUGAACAUAAAACACGAAAAACCAUCAGAUCUGAAACAAAAACAGCACGAAAACAAAAAACCAGAACCGAAUAGUAACCGAUCGAUCUUCGCCUUUGGUGAAAGGAAGAAGAUGAACGUACCUAUUGGCGUGAGAGUAAUAAAAGAAUCAUAUAGUAACACAAGUAUCAUAAGAUCAAGUAACGCAAACAGAUCAGAGAUCACAGAUCAGAAAGGGAUCGAGAAAAUUCCGAAUCCGAAUCGUGUGAGAUCAGAUGUGAUGCCUGCAACAAACAGACCUUCGUUUCAACGAUUUCGCCGUACUGAGAGAAGGCUCUCUCGAGAGCUUGGUCGUCAGUGGCCCAAGCGAGCCCACCGACAAAGCAACGGUACUCAACAUCUGAAGAAGCCAUCGAAAAUUGUAUAAACCCUAGAAAAUUGGUAUUAAGAGGGGUAAGACUGGCACGAAGAAGACGGAAACCCCAAGCGAUUGUUUUAUAGCUGCUGAAAUUUUAACCAGGGUUACGGCGCGUGUGUUUGACCUAGACUAGGGUUACAGCUAAAUGAAUCAUGGUUCAAAAUUAGGUCAUUAUAAAUAUUGGGCUCAAACUUGGACCCAUGUGAAAUUUUUGUUUAGGCCCAAAUUGAUAGUUACUCAAUUUUCAACACAAAAAUUAUUUAUACUAUGAAUCACAUUGAGAACGUUGUAAGAAAAAAUAUCAUACUAUCUUUUAUAACUCUGUGAAUCACAUUGAAAAGUUUCAUUUAAAAUAAAUUUAUUGAUAACAAAAUUUUUUUUUUAAUAUUAUACAAACUCAAAAGACGAUAACGCGUGAAACAAUCCUCGGUCAAUCUUUUUUCACAAAGACGAUAAUAAUGGAAUCCAUGUGAUCAUUUACACCUGACAUGACAAGAGACAGUUGUCACCUUGCAUGACAAAGACAACAUUUGUCCAAUGACCAAGGUGAUGAGUCAUUUCUUUCUUUCUUUUUUCUUUAUCAAUUAUGACAUCAUUCAUGACCUCAUCAUCCAAUCUCAUAAGAGUAAUUUUAAUGAGAGUUUUUUUUUUGACAAAAACAAUGGUAGGAAUUUUGUAUGAUUUUUUUUUCCAUUGGAGAGCUAUAACUUGGUAGGCCCCAUUUCAAAGAGUUGUCAACUCACUUAUUGUAGAGUGGGUCCAUUUGCAUUAUAUUUAAUUAAAUUAGCAAUGUAUUUUUUUUUUACUCAACAUUAUGGAUCCAUUUGUGAAGCUCCCUAUAGCAAUGAAGGUCCAUCAAAUACCUUACACCACAAUUCAUCAUUAUCCAAAGAGUUGACUUUAGGUUUCUUUGGAGAUGUGAUAACAUAAGAUUCAACACUAAAAGAAGCUCAAUUUUUUUAUAAAAAAAUAAUUUAAUAAUUUUAUAUUAUUUUUGUAUAACUAAAUUAAUUUUUUAUAUCUUUGUUUGUUUAAAUUAAGAUGUGACAUGCGACUAAAAAGUAUUUAUGUUGAUUAUUAAUUUAUUUUUUUAUAUAUUACCUUCAUAAAUUCAUAUUGAAUUAAUUUUUAACUUAUUGUGAUACAUAAGUAUGUAAUUGAUUUAUGAUGACAUAUUUAUUUUUUUAAAACAAAAUAAGAAACACAGAUAAAAAUAAAAUUAUAAAUGAAUAAAACUAAAUGUUGGUAUAUUAAUAAAGAACAAAAAUAUAUAUUUUUAAUAUGAAAUUAUAUUUUAUCGAUGAUAAACAAUAAUGAUUAAACUAAAACAUUUUCUUCAAGAGAUAAAAUAUAUAAUUAAAUUAAAUUAUAUAUAUAAGAAAAUUAAAGUAUAAAAAAUGUGAUAAAUUCCUCAAGAUGAAGAUCAAAUUUAAAAAAUAUAAAUCCACCGUAGAUAAGAUAUAUCACCAACUCAUCUCAUUAUCAUAUUUAUCUUAUAAAUAAAUAUUAUGUAAUUUUUUAAAAAAACAAAUUAAAUAAUAAAUGAUAACAUAGAAAUAAAUUAAAUAAAAAAUGUGAUAUAUUAUUUUGAGGUUUAUUAAACCUAAUUAUUCGUUUAAUGAACAAAACAUAUUGUUUUUAAUAAACUUACAUUAUUAUUUUUUUAUAUAAAAGGGGCCAAAUCUCAAGAUCGACCUUGAUUAUCAAUUACUUCCAUCAAAGCCACCAGACCUGCACCAUCAAAGGAACCUGGAGACAAGCUUCUAUUCUUGUUUUCUUCAGAAAUUUCGUGGCUUUGAGGAAUGGGAGUGUGUGGAGAAAAUUUCUUUAACCUUGCGUAUAUGUUGAUUGAUUUCUUACCAAGAAAACUUAUUUUUUCUGGUUGAUGGCUGGAUGUAAUUAUUGUUACUGUUUGAUUAUUGUGUGGCUUUAUUAGAAAUGUUCAUUUAUGAAGGGAAAUUCUGCCAAAAAGAUUCUCUCCGCAAACAUUUAUUACAAGGGUACAAGAAGAUGUUGUCCUCCCCGCAAACAAGAAGAUAUUAUCACAUAAAUAAAUAUCAUGUCAGAAUCUAAUUUAUAUCUUUCUUGCCAAAAUAACUUUUUUUAAAGCUUUCCAAAUGAAAUUUGAGUUAAUUGUCAAAGAAGUGUAAAGUGUUUAACAACCUCCCGUCUACAAAACUAUUAACCAUGAUCAAAUUUAAAACAUAAAUUGUUGAAUUAAUAAUUAAAUUUAAUUAAUUAAAACGCUUACAAAAAAAUUACUUAAUUAAGCUGCAAAUAUAUAGCUUAUCAGAACCAAUAAGCAAACGGCAUUGGUGCAAUUAAAAUAUUUUCCAAAUAAAAAUCUGUUGAAAUGUGAUAGCACUAUAGUAGUACCCUAAUUUCUGGCAAUCUUUUCAUUUAUUCGAUUCUACACAACCAGAGAUAUAUAGGUAAAAAACCGUAUCCAGGAGCCCCAAACCAAGACAAAUUACCAAACCGUAACACCUAAAAUUACGGAACACAAACAUAGCAAUAAACACUAAUCUACAACAUUAAGCCCUAAUUUCUCCAGCUUCCAUCACCACCACCACGAGAGUAGCGUGAUCCACCGUCCCCGUAAGGUCCGUAACGAUGGUCUCUGUCACCGCCAUAACCACCACCGUUACGGUUAUAUGCACCUUCCCGACGGCCACCGUAUCCUCCAGCACCACCACUGCGGUUGUAUCCACCGCCACUUCCGUAACCGCCACCGCCUCCACCGCGGCUUCCGCGGGACUGAGCUUCGUUCACAGUGAUGUUGCGUCCAUCAAGGUUCUGACCGUUCAUCCCUUCGAUCGCAUCCCUCAUUGAAUCCUCGGAGGCGAAGGUAACAAAUCCAAAUCCCCUGGAUCUUCCAGUCUCACGAUCGUUGAUAAUCUACACAUAAAACCACAAACGGUUCAUCAAAUUGAAAUGAAAAGCAAAACAGCACGAAAACAAAAACCAGAACCGAAUAGAAACCGAUCGAUCUUCUUCUUUGGCAAAAAGAUGAAGAUGAACGUACCUAUUGGCGUGAGUAAUAAAAGAAUCAUAUAGUAACACAAGUAUCAUAUCAUAGAACAAGUAACGCAAAUAGAUCAGAGAUCACAGAUCAGAACGGGAUGGAGAAAUUCCGGAUCCGAAUUGUGUCAGAUCAUAUGCGAUGCGGACCUUCGAUUCAACGACGUCACCGUACUGAGAGAAGGCUUUCUCCAGAUCGUAGUUGUCAGUGGCCCAAGCGAGCCCACCAACAAAGCAUCGGUAUUCAACAUCCGCAGAAGCCAUGGAAAUUUGGAAAAGAGGAUAGGAAUAAGAUUGACAUGCCCCAAGUGAUAGUCUUAUAGCAAGUGAAUUGUUAAUCAGGGUUACCGCGUGCAAGUUGGACCUUAACCAGGGUUAAAUUAGUAGCGACUUUACAGGGGGGAAUAUUUUCUCUUAUGGAGUACUAUUAUUUUUUCGGUGGUACUGUAAUGGAUAACCUGACGUGACGUGCACCACUAUUAUUGGCGUUUUUUCAGAAGGAGUUGUUACGUGUCGUGCAUGCAUGAGGGGGGCGCCACUGAAAGAGCCAUCUUCUUCCUGUCACCACUCACAACUGACACAGACACAUCGUACUUUUUCUUUUUCUUUUUCUAACAUUUAUUACUUUUUGCCACUGCAUAGACUAGCAUAAGUUUAUUGGAAGGAUAAAUAGGUGAGAAAAAAAUUAUAAUAAAUGAUUAAAUUCAGUGCCUGAAUUUAUAUUUUAUUAUCAUAUUAGUUUGUUCUUUUACUUUUUAAAUCUCAUAAAAUUUUAAAUAGAUAAUUCUUUAAAUUAUUUUUUAAUUUUACUAUUUAAUAUGAGAUAAUAAUUAAAUUCUAGGAUCAAAAUGAAAAAAAAUAUCAAAGACUUCAAUGAUUUUUAAAAAAAACUUAUUUAAGUUUUUAUUUUUUAAUUUUAAGAACUAAAAAUAACAAUAAGAUACAAAUUAAGAGAUUAUAUUCACUAUCUAGUAAGAAAAACUAUUUAGAAUUAUCUAAAACAAUCAUAAUAUUUAAAAAUAUUUAUUCAUUAUAAUUUUAAUUAGAUAAGAAUUGUCAGAUUAAAGUAUUAAUUAUAUUAUUUUAACAGGAAUUUUUGCUAAAAAGAUUAUGAAUUUUUCACUUAAGAAACAAUACUUUUUUAUUCUUUUCUAUAGUACAUUUUAACUAAAUGAACAAUUUAUAACAUUCAAAAUUAGAACGUCGCCUGUAAUUGUGUGUUUUCAGACUUCCACGUUUGUCACAUAAAUUGACGUGAGUUAUGUUCUCAAUCAAACGCGUAAGUUAUUAAAUUCUCGUAUUUUUCAACUCGAAAAUUUCAAUAUAUUUUCUUUAACAUAUUGCCUGUAAACAUUUUUAAUCCAAUUUAAUUUAUUGACAAAAUUAACAAUUACUAGUAAAGUUCUUGACAAUUGCAAGUUAAUGACAACUUUUUUCAUAUCCAGCUUACCGAAACAGGUAAACUAAUAGCCAUUCUCCAUUAAAAAUGCAAUCAGAAUAUUUUCUUCGUCCAUCGUAGAUCGUACAAAUGAAAAUCUGUUUAAUACUUCUCCGAUUAUCAUUUCAUUCAAUCGAUUGUACACAAAGAGAUAGAAAGACAGACACCCAAACCACACAACACCUAAAAUUACUGAACUUAAUCAUAAACCCUAAUCUUGUUCAUCCAGCUCUAGUUUCUCCGGCUUCCAUUGACAUCGCCACCACGAGAGUAGCGUGAACCACCGUCACCGUAACCACAAUCUCUGUCACCACCAUAACCACCCCCUCCAUAGCCUCCACCACCACGGUUAUAUCCACCUUCACGACGACCACCGUAUCCACCGCGGCUGCCGCGGGACUGAGCUUCGUUCACAGUUAUGUUACGUCCGUCAAGGUUCUGACCGUUCAUCCCUUCGAUCGCAUCCUUCAUUGAAUUCUCCGAGGCGAAGGUAACAAAUCCAAAUCCCCUGGACCUUCCGGUCUCACGAUCGUUGAUAAUCUGCACGUAAAAACACGAACGGUUCAUCAAAUUGAAAUCGAAAGCAAAACAGCACGAAAACCAAAUCCAGAACCGAAUAGAAACCGAUCGAUCUUCGCCUUUGGUAAAGAGAUGAAGAUGAACGUACCUAUUGGCGUGAGUAAUAAAAGAGAAUUAUAUAAGAAGAAGAAGAAGAAGUAUCAUAGAUCAAGUAACGGAAAAAGAUCAGAGAUCAGAACGGGAUCGUGUGCGAUGGCUGCAACAAACGGACCUUCGAUUCAACGAUGUUGCCGUAGUGAGAGAAGGCUUUCUCCAAGGCAUGAUCGUCUGUGGCCCAAGCGAGCCCACCAACAAAGCAACGGUACUCAACAUAUGCAGAAGCCAUGGAUAACAUAACAGUAUAAAAUAAAAUCCAAAUAGGGAUAAAAAUUGCACGCUGAAAAACUAAACCCCCCAAGGAAUUGCUUUAUAGCAGGUGAAUUGUUGACCUGUGUUAAACUGGUUACAAGUACUACCUACACAUUCGGCUAUUUAACUGAAAAAGUCAAUCUUUCAGGCUUACCGUUUCAUCAGGAGGUUGAAUGGAUCACAUGUUGCCAUGUUGGGCAGGUUGGUAUAAAGAAUUUGGGGAUUUUCUUCCUCCACCCAACACCAUUUUUUUACACCCAACGUUUUGAGUGAAAAAUCAAUUUUACCUCUUCUUCAUUGACACUUAAAUGUCAAAUACAGAUUAAUUGAGAAAUUGUCUGUCUGCACCAUUCAUUCACGCGUUUUUUCAUUUUUUCUCUCAAAUUCUUUCAUCUUCUUCUCUUCAAUCUGUGGUUGUCUUCAUCAAUUCAUGUGUGCUCAUCAGCGGUGUCUGUCUUCAUUUCCCUAUCGCCUUAGUGAGCCGUUGUGAGUUCUGUUGUCUGUAUUUUUUUUUUUGUGUAUUGAACGUAUACGGAUACGGAUUGUCAAUCCGUAUGAAGUAAACGAAAGAAGAAAAAAACUUACCAAUGACAAUGCAGUGCUACUCACGACGACAGAGGAGAGGAAACUCCCGGAAGAGAAACUAGAGAGGAGCCAUGACAGGAACACACACCACGAACAAUACCAACACCAGUUUCACAAAAGAGAAAGAGAAUAUCAACGGUCGUGGUGACAAAAAUUUCAAAUGAGCAGUGUCUUACGAAUUAUCAAUCGGAUAAUCAAUCCAUAGGCUAUACGAAAAAGAGAAAAGAAAGAAUUGAAGAACAAGUAAAAAAUGAUAAAGUUGAAAAUUUUUAAAAUAUGUUAAAUGUAGAAAAAAUUUAUUGGGUGUAAAAAAACACAAGAAUUUGGGUCAAAAUAUGAGUUAGUACAUUUUUGGAGGCCCAAAAAGUUUAUGAUUUUUCAAACACAAACUUAAAUUUAUAACUUUAAUAACUAUUAAAAAAAUAAAACAAAAUCCGAACAUGUGAAAGUCAGAUCUGCAAAGCGGUGCCCAAAACUCUUUUUUGCACAUUAUUCAUUAGGCAACUCAUGAUAUUAUGUCUUCACAGAGCCUUAGUACCAGUGCACUGCAGAUCACAGGAUCUAAUCUCCGGAUACAAAAGCACAAAUAAAUAAUAAUCAGACACUUGCAAGCUUUCAAAAUCACAAAAGUAAAAUGUACAAAAAAAAUUGAUGAAAAAGAAAAAAACUUUGUCCUAAUACAAUAUCUGCAAUAAAAAGGAUAUAUCAUAUAUUUUAAACAAAAAACAAAAAUUAAAAUCAGAUUUUUCAUUUGAAAAUACAACAUGAGCAAGUAUUGUCAUCCAAAAACGAUUGGGGGGAAGGAAAAAAAAUGCCAAUGAUGAGAAAACAACUUCACUAAUUAAAAAAAUUUAAUUAGUGAACUGUUCAGCAAAUGGAAGGUUGUGUGAAUAAUUUGCUCUUAAGAAUCGAUAUUGUUGUAAUUGUUGAGCUAAAUGGAUUCGUCGACUUGUAACUUUGAACACAUUUUUUUUGUUUCUAGCUAUUUUAGUUAUUAUUUAUGUUUAAAUUCUGGUUCUGUAACUUUAUAUAAUGCAUUGAACAGAUCGAGAUUGUGUAUUCGGAAUCUCUUACAGUGAGGAUAAAUAUUUAAUAUUUCGGCUUCAAUCUUGGAACUUUUCUGGUUUGCUUGUUGAUUUCAUUUUCAGGCUUUCAGCUUGGUGAAGUUGUGUCUAUUCUCUCAAGUCUUUACCUAUGUACUUUUUAUGCCGAGUGGGUUUAGAUUCUAGGUGCCAGGUUUUGUUAUUUAGGCUCACCUUGUUGCCAAACAUUUCCCUAGUUUAGUUUGUGGAACUUUGAUUUUACUCUUCCUUAAGUCUUGGGGUUUUGGAUUUUGAGCAUGUUCGUUACAUAGAGCCUUUCAUUUUAGCAUCCUACUGUAUUAAAUGUUAAGUUCUGAUUUAUGAAAUGCAUCUCUAUUGGCUAGUGAUAGUUUGAGCAAUUGGACUUUCAAUUACUUUUAUUUUGUGCAAGGAGCCUACCAUUUCAAACAUGGUCAAUUCCUGAGUAAUUUGUGUUGAUUUGCUUGGGUUAGACAAAAGUUUGGCCAUGUUGUGUUUUAUCAGCUGGUUUCUGGCAUUACUAAUCUUUAAGUGGAGUGUGGAGAUUGCCUUCUUUUCUGUCGCUAAAUUUCAGUUAAGUGUUCCACUUCUAAUUGCCUCUGGUCUUCAACAAGAAGGGGUCCAUUGUUUUCGUUCUUGCAUUGUGGAUUUAUGCAUUUGAGCAUUCUCAAGAGCUUACUUCAGAGUCUGUUGUAAAAAAUAAAAAAAAGAGCUUACUUCAUUAGUUUAUUCAUGAGUCUUAAAAAUUUGGUAACUUCCUUUCAAUGAUAGGCAACUCUGAUUGCGGAAAAAAAAAAUGCAAGCUUGUUUGUAGAAUUGUAGUAAUAUUCUCUUUAAUUUGAGCAGACUUUGACGACUAAUUUUGCACAUCUGUACUCUAUUCUCUUGGAAGUUAUGCGAUUGUAAACAUAACUUGAAGUGAUCGCAACAAGUCCAAAGAUUAUUUCUACUGUUCAAGCUUUAUAGUUAAACUAGACUUUCAACAAGUGCAACGCACGGGCUUUAAUUUUUUAAAAUUAUAUAUAUAUAUAUAUAAAAUUUUAUAUUUAUUUAUAUAAAUAAAAAUAAUAAUUUUUAAAUAUUUAGUAUUAUGUUAAACAUAAUUAUAUUAUCAAUGAAAAAUUUAAUUAAUUAUAUUUUUAAUUGAGUUAAUUUUAUCUUAAAAAUUAAAUAUAUUAAAAUUUAUUGUAAUUUUUGGUUCAUUUAAGUAAUAAUGGUGAUAUAAUAUCUUUUGAAAAAUAAAUGUAUAUAAAUAAAAUUAUUCAUUUUAAAUAUUUUUAAUAGUGAAAUCAAUAUAUAAAUAUUAAAAUUGAAAAAUAAUGUUAAAUAUUAUAUUUAUGCAUUUGUUAUUUAAGGGUUCCACUUGCACUCUGCUUAUUUAGAAAAUUGCGCUAACCUCCAAUGCUUUGUUAUUUUAAGGGGAUUGUGUGUAUAGUCCAUACUCUGUAAAUAAAAGUGAGCUAGAUGUGUGUAAUUUUUUAAAAAUAAUGAGUGUUGAUGAGUAAGGAUCAUAUAUAAAAUAAGGGAGGUAGUUGUUCAUACAAGCAAGGUGCAAGUGUAUUUAGUGCUAACCUUAAGGGAGGUAUAUGUUAUUAAUCCUUUAUGUCAGAUGAUCUUAUCUUGAAACCAGUUGCGUGUUGGUACAACUGGGUUUUAAAUUUUGAUUCUAGUGUAUACUACUAUAAUAUAACUAAUAGUUAUAUGUCAACCACAGUUCUGAAACUUGGUCAGUGUAUUUGGCUAUUGAAAUGUUACAUCCUUUUACUUUACAGUGUUGUAGUUUUCAAAAGCCUUUACCUAGUCAAUGAUUGCUUAGAUAGGUUGGUUGGUUAGUCUCCUAGAACUUUACUUGUCAUUGACACCGAAUGGCACUUAGGGCAAAGGGAGAUAAACAUGAUUCUCAUCUUUAGUUUGCAUAUUGCUUCUGGCUGACAGCUUCUCGUGAGAUGAGAAAAUUCGGAUCUGGUUUUACAUAUUGCUUUUGGCUGACAGCUUGUUUGACUUAACUUUGAUUUUUGAAACUCCUAAUAUUGAGACAAUAUUUUAUUUAAAGAUUUUUUUAGCAUUUGAAAAGUUCCUUCACCCCAACAUAAACUAUUAUUGUCUUUUAAUUUUUUUUUAUCAUAUGACAGCAUUAGAUUGUUUAAUAUAGAAUACUAUUGCUGGAUCUAUCUAUCCAGAAUUAUAAUAUAAUAGUGGAAAAUGCAAUUGAAUGUUUUACAUUCCUUGCCUUGUGUUUAGAUGAAGGAUUUGAAGUGAUCAGUUGCAUUCCACUAUCUUACUGAAUAUGCCAAAAUUAAUUAUAAUAGCAUUGCUUUUUAUGAAGUUCCCUUUGUAAUUGUGUCUAGUCUCCAAAAGUAUGUGACAUACUUAUUCACAUGCAAUGUUAGUAUUGGUAUGUGUAUUUUGUAAGAAGAUAUUUGUUUUAAAUCUCAAAAUAGUAUAUACACAAAUUAUCUUAUAUCAUUAUCGUACAGUUUGGAUUGAAAAGAAAUGGAUCGUAUCAUAGUUGACACUGCAAUUACUUUAAAAAAACGUAAAAGAGAAGAGUAUAAGAAUAUAAUCUUAUUAGUUGUUACUUGUGUUGUUCAUAUAGUUAUUGAUGUAGUGACAUGGUAUCAUAAUAAUUAUUUUGUUAAGGAACCAACCUGUAAUUGGAAAUAGGAACAUUUAGCUUCCUUAAUCGUAUUUAUAGAGUAGAGGGACAGAGAAAUAUUACAUUAAACAACUAAGGCUUAGUAAAAGUGCAUUUUUUAACCUUUGUAAAAUUUUACAAGAGAGGGAUGGAUUAGUAAGAACAAGACAAUUGAAGUAGUAGAUAUGUUUUUAUAUAUCCUUGCUCACAACCUAAAGUAUAUGGUAGUGCAAUUUAGUUAUUGUAGAUCUAAAGAAACCAUAAAUAGGCAAUUCAAUGGAAAUAUUGUGUAUUUAAAUUUCUUAAAAAAUUUUAAAUCCUUCAUCCAAAUACAAUAUACUUUAUUAGGCUAUUAAAAAAUCCAAUUGUGUUAAUAUUCAAUACUAGAGAUGCACUAACGAGUAAGAUUUUGUUUAUUAUGAACUUUUUAAUUUAUUAAAAUUAUAUCAAUAUGACCUUGUUAAGCAUAAGUAUAUAUUUUCUUAGGUAUAAGAAACGUCAAAUCAUCAAUUGAAUUAGUUAUUUUUUAAAAAUUAAAAUCGAUGAGUUAUUUUAAUUAAUAUUGUCAUAAAUUAAAGUUUUAUUCCAACUAUCACCUUAUGUUUAAUAUUGUAAGUGACAAUCAUAUUUAAUGUCAAUACUAUCAAUCCAAUGAAUGAAUAUCUAAUAAAUAGAAUUAACAAGAAAAAAUGAUAUAAAAAAUUUAAUCCUAAAUAAGUUUUAAAAAUAAUAAUUGUUUCUUAUAAUUAGAAUUAAAGUAAAGUAUAAUUUAUUUCUUAUAAACAGAACCUAAGAUAAUAUUAUAUAAGUAGUCUUUUAACUUGUGAAUUGUACAUAAAAAUAUUUAUUUUAUAUAUUUAUAAUUUGUAGUUAAGUAUUUUUUUAGCAUAUAAAUUAUAUUUCAUAUUCAUGAUUAAUAAUUUGUAUUGUGAAACAAUACUGUUUUUAAAUAUUAAUCAUUGUUUCUAAAAUAAAAUAUUAAAAUCGCAAAGAUUAAACGCUAAGAAAAAAAAAAUUAAAAAAACACUUUUGUAGAUGAAAAAUAGUUAGAAGUGUUAUCUUUGACGAAUGAUAGCUAAAAACGCCCAUUAAGCAAAAAAAUAUAAAGAAAUAAUCUAUAAUUAUAUUAAAAUGAAAUUUUACAAUAAAUUAUUACUGAUAUAUAAAUUGCAUGUAAAAUUAAAAUAAAAAAUAAAUUGUAACAUUAGCAAAUUUAAGAUAUAAUUUUUAAAUUAGAAUUAAAAAUGAAAAAUAUUAAAAUGAAUACUUUUUUGGUAGACAUAAAAACUAAUAUUAUUUAAUUUGAAAUUAAAAAGAUAAAAAAUUAAGAAAAAAAAACAUCUAUGAAAAUAUAAUUAAAAAUUUUAACUAAAAUAUAAUUUUCGUCUGAAUUUAUUUUUAUUUAAGACAUUUUCUCUCAUACUUUUAAAAAAAUUAAAAUUUUAGUCUCACAUUUUUAAUUAAAAAAUUUCAUCCACACUUUUAAAAAAAUUAUAAUUUUAAUUCCUAUGGACAACAAUUUCAAAUGUGAAUAUUUGUUAUUCAUUAACGUUGACUACGGGUAGUAACCGAUAAGAACUGAUCGGUGAAUCCAAAUAUUAAUUUUAAAACAUAUUUUAAAAUGUUAAAAAACUGAAUAAAUUAAAAUAAAAAAUUUGACUUUAUUAUUUUAAACUAAAAUCUAUCACAAUAAAAUAUAUCAUCAUUUUAAAUAUAACAAAUUAAUAAUAAUUUAGAUCAAAAUAGUAAUAUGACAAAUUAAUACUGUAAUCCUUGUACAUUUAGAUUAGAUAGAUUAAACGGACGGAUAGUUAGUUAAGUCUGCUGGAUUUAUCACGUUAAAAUAUUUAAUUACUAAUAAGAAGGAACAAAUUACUCUAUUAAAAACUGAAGAGACUAAAAUUGCAAAAUUUUAAUUAAGGUGAAGAAAAUUGUAUUUCUGCCUUAAAACCCCAUGUUUUAAGAGUUGAGAGAAUUGUCAUACCAAAUCUUUAACUUUAAAUAAUUGGUAAUUAGAUUUAUGUUUCAUAGAUUAAGAAUUUCACAAUCCCUCAUGUUGAAUCACGUGCUUUUUAUGCCUCUAUUCUGCCCUCCAUGUUGUUUUUUUUUUGGUGCAGACUGCAGAUCAACUAAAUUAAUUUUAGUACCAAAGGGUUGUUUAUGCAAAUUUUAAAAAAUAAAUUAGUUAUUUUUAUCGUUUUGAGUAUACAAUUUACCGAAUCCGGUAAACUAAGAACCAUCACCAUUAAUCCAAUUCGAUUUCCACGUCCAGCAAACAGAUAGCAAAAUCCAUAGAAAUUUGAUGCGAUAAUUUCUUACUAUCAUUUCAUUCGAUCGACUAUAAACACAACUAGAAUUGUAGGUCAAAAACGAAAACCACAGGAACACGAAACGAAACCAACACAGAUACCGAAACUUAAACCACACACAGACAACACCUUAAAAUAAUUGAACUUAAUCAUAAACCCUAAUUUACAGGGUCAUAUGCCUAAUUUCUCCAGUUUCCAUCGGAUCCACCGCCUUCCCCACCGCGAGAGUAGCGAGAACCACCAUCACCACCGUAACCACGGUCUCUACCACCGCCGUAUCCUCCACCUCCACCCCCACCAUUACGGUUGUAUCCACCUUCACGACGACCACCGUAUCCGCCGCCGCCACCACCACCACCAUAUCCACCGCUACCGCGGUUGUAUCCACCACCACUUCCGAAACCACCGCCUCCACCACCACCACGGCUGGCGCGGGUCUGAGCUUCGUUGACAGUGAUGUUACGGCCGUCAAGGUCCUGGCCGUUCAUUCCUGCGAUCGCAUCUUUCAUUGACUGCUCUGAGGCGAAGGUCACAAAUCCGAAUCCUCUGGACCUUCCAGUCUCACGGUCGUUGAUAACCUGCACACAAAAACACGAUGCAUCAGAUCCAAAGCAAAAGAAAAAACACGAAAACUAACGACAGAACCGAAUAGAAACCGAUCGAUCUUCGCCUUUGGUGAAAGGAAGAAGAUGAACGUACCUAUUGGCGUGAGUAAUAAAAGAAUCAUAUAGUAACACAAGUAUCAUAUCAUAGAUCAAGUAACGCAAAUAGAUCAGAGAUCACAGAUCAGAAGAGGAUCGAGAAAAAAUCCGAAUCCGAAUCGUGUGAGAUCAGUUGCGGUGCCUGCAUCAAACGGACCUUC